AUCCAAAAUAUAUUGAACCGGAUGCAAACAAUAAUAACACACAUACAUUAAUUUUCCCAUAUAAAUACAUCAUCUGUUACGAAUUAAUGUCCAUCAAAAUUUCCUAUAAACUAAUGGAACUAAUUAAGUAGAGGAAACAUUAUGGUUCAUUUCCUAAGAGCAAAAAUUGCUCACUUUAUUUUCUAGAAUUUGUCUUAAAGAGGC
rnacentral:lncRNA from 1 species